UACGUAGGCAGCGAGCGUUGUUCGGAGUUACUGGGCGUAAAGGGUGUGUAGGCGGUUGUUUAAGUUUGGUGUGAAAUCUCCCGGCUCAACUGGGAGGGUGCGCCGAAUACGGAAUGACUUGGAGUGCGGGAGGGGUGAGUGGAAUUCCUGGUGUAGCGGUGAAAUGCGUAGAUAUCAGGAGGAACACCGGUGGUGUAGACGGCUCACUGGACCGUAACUGACGCUGAGACACGAAAGCGUGGGUAGCAAACAGG
rnacentral:rRNA from 1 species